rnacentral:rRNA from 1 species
GACGAACGCUGGCGGCGUGCUUAACACAUGCAAGUCGAACGGAAAGGCCCUGCUUGCAGGGUGCUCGAGUGGCGAACGGGUGAGUAACACGUGGGUGAUCUGCCCCUUACUUUGGGAUAAGCCUGGGAAACUGGGUCUAAUACUGGAUAGGACCAUGCUGUAGGUGGUGUGGUGGAAAGAUUAGUUUCGGUAAGGGAUGAGCUCGCGGCCUAUCAGCUUGUUGGUGGGGUAAUGGCCUACCAAGGCGUCGACGGGUAGCCGGCCUGAGAGGGUGGACGGCCACAUUGGGACUGAGAUACGGCCCAGACGCCUACGGGAGGCAGCAGUGGGGAAUAGUGCACAAUGGGCGCAAGCCGGAUGCAGCGACGCCGCGUGGGGGAUGACGGCCUUCGGGUUGUAAACUCCUUUCAGCCAUGACGAAGCCCUUGUGGUGACGGUAGUGGUAGAAGAAGCACCGGCUAACUACGUG